rnacentral:rRNA from 1 species
AUUGAACGCUGGCGGCAGGCCUAACACAUGCAAGUCGAGCGGUAGCACAGAGAGCUUGCUCUCGGGUGACGAGCGGCGGACGGGUGAGUAAUGUCUGGGAAACUGCCUGAUGGAGGGGGAUAACUACUGGAAACGGUAGCUAAUACCGCAUAAUGUCGCAAGACCAAAGUGGGGGACCUUCGGGCCUCAUGCCAUCAGACGUGCCUAGAUGGGAUUAGCUAGUAGGUGAGGUAACGGCUCACCUAGGCGACGAUCCCUAGCUGGUCUGAGAGGAUGACCAGCCACACUGGAACUGAGACACGGUCCAGACUCCUACGGGAGGCAGCAGUGGGGAAUAUUGCACAAUGGGCGCAAGCCUGAUGCAGCCAUGCCGCGUGUGUGAAGAAGGCCUUCGGGUUGUAAAGCACUUUCAGCGGGGAGGAAGGCGUUAAGGUUAAUAACCUUGGCGAUUGACGUUACCCGCAGAAGAAGCACCGGCUAACUCCGUGCCAGCCGCCCGCCGUAA